GUGUGUGUGUGUGUGUGUGUGUGUGUGUGUGUGUGUGUGUGUGUGUGUGUGUGUGUGUGUGGUGUGUGUGUGUGUGUGUGUGUGUGUGUGUGUGUGUGUGUGUGUGUGUGUGUGUGUGUGUGUGUGUGUGUGUGUGUGUGUGCCUAUGUGGUUUAUGAGGACAUUUUGUCUGAAUACACGCCACACUAUGAGGACAUUUUGAAUUAACGGGACAGGGCCGAUGUCCUCAUAAUUCCGACAACGUAGAAGUGUUUCUAGAAGCCUAAAAAGCUAGAAUUCAAAAUUUCAGCAAAAGUCUUCAUAGUACACAAUUAUCUGAUUUUGUGUAUAAAUUGUGUAUCGACAAACGCCCCAAGAGGUUGGUCUUGGUACUGCACCCCCUCAUUAAUAAUUCACACAAUGUGUAAAAUUCAGAGCUUUUGAUUGGCUCUCAGCCGGAAGGUCCACAUAAUACUGGGUUUUAUCAGGAAAGCUGUGUAUUCUACAAUUAACAAUACAGUAUCAUGAUGAACCAACGCAUUGACACCUGCACCUGCCUGUGUGAAGAGAGGAGAUCAAGAGGGAGUCAGCAUGUCUGUAAUGAGGCCACAGAGAGCUAAGAUUAAGCCUAAAGAAGAGGCAGCUUAUUUUUCAUCAUUGGGAAAGGACAAGGAUGGAUUUACUAUAAAAUAUAUUAAUUCAUUCAAAGGUCGAGGAGUGUUUAGUUGCCGCCACUUUCAGAAAGGAGACUUUCUCAUAGAAUAUCGAGGGGAAGUCUUAAGCAAAAAGGAGUAUGAGUACCGACUAAGACUGUACCAUGAUGCUCUGAUGGUUGAAUUAUACUACAAUGGGAAAAAACUAUGUGUGGAUGCAGCAAAAGAGGAUGACUCCUUUGGCAGACUUGUCAAUGAUGACAAUAUAGACCCAAACUGUUGAAGGAAAACCUCAUCUGUGUUUGUUUGCCAUCAAGGACAUCAGGCCAGGGGAGGAGAUCACAUACAACUAUGGAGACUCAGACUGGCCGUGGAGAUCAAAGAUUUCAACGGAGACAGAGGAUCACCAUGCCGUCGUGAUAUGUGACAGCCUCAAAGAUGUUGAACAGAUAUCAACUGAGGCAGAGGGUCACCAUGUGGUUGUGGCAUCUGACAGCCUCAAAGAUGUUGAAAAGAUUUCAACUGAUGUAGAGGAUCACCAUGCUGCCGUGGUAUCGGACAGACUCAAAGAUUUUGAACAGGUAUUGGAUGAGAGAGAUUCUCCUACCAUGCCUCCUCUCCUUUCUUGUCCAGACAUGACAAUUCCUGAUUGUCACUCGGACAAUAUUCAUCAAAACUGCAAACACGAUGUGGUUUCCUCAGUAGUUCCAAGCUUCGAGAAAUGUGCCGUGUGCAACGGACCCU